AACGAACGCUGGCGGCAGGCCUAACACAUGCAAGUCGAACGGGCGUAGCAAUACGUUAGUGGCGCACGGGGGAGUAACGCGUGGGAACCUACCUUUUGGUUCGGGAUAACGUCGGGAAACUGACGCUAAUACCGGAUAAGCCCCAUGGGGGAAAGAUUUAUCGCCGAUAGAUGGGCCCGCGUUAGAUUAGCUAGUCGGUGAGGUAAUGGCUCACCAAGGCAACGAUCUAUAGCUGGUCUGAGAGGAUGACCAGCCUCACUGGGACUGAGACACGGCCCAGACUCCUACGGGAGGCAGCAGUGGGGAAUAUUGGACAAUGGGGGAAACCCUGAUCCAGCCAUGCCGCGUGAAUGAUGAAGGCCUUCGGGUUGUAAAAUUCUUUCACCGGGGACGAUAAUGACGGUACCCGGAGAAGAAGCCCCGGCUAACUUCGUGCCAGCCGCCGCGGUAA
rnacentral:rRNA from 1 species